rnacentral:lncRNA from 1 species
CAGAUACUACAGUGUGUGUUAAGAAACCAUGUCAAAAUACGUCACACUAAACAGUAUGAAUUGUUUCAUAAACUAUUGUAUUUAAUAAUUACUACUAUUUUGGGCAUAAUCAAAGGGACGGGUUUAUUUGUGUGGGUGGGAUAAGCAGCAUCUUUCAUCAAUACUUUACACUUGAGGAUUAUUAAGAGGUCGUGUUUCUAAUCAGAUAAUGAGGCCUUGUUCACGCCUGUGCUGGUUUUGUCUGUGCAGGUUCUAAUGAAACCGACCACAUCUGAUGGUGAAGCAACACACCUUUAAAGAUGCAGCCUCUGUGAUGCUGUUUAAAAGCUUAUUGCAUUUCCUGGAGGGACUGGCGACGAGGCAGAAAACACCAGCUUAAUAUUUACUGCAUUAGGCUUUUUACACUCGUACUGUGACGUCCUGCAGCUGCAGCGCAAGAUGACCUUGAUUCUUCUGAUGAUUCUCUACUUCACCAUUUCACCUGUUGCUGACUGCCAUCGCAAUUUUAGAGGUUUUUCAGAUAGUGAUGAGAAAUGGCACCGAGGCUAUUGGCCACGACCUCGCCAGCCUUCCAUCCCUCUGUGGCCGCUGUUUCCAGGUCUGCUUCCACGACCGUUUCCUCCACCACCACCACCGUUACCGGCACCAAAGCCAGCCACGACUACGACCUCAACCACGACUAAAGCCACGACUACGACUCCAACCACCACCACAACGACCCCCACUCCAACCACAACGACUCCAGCUCCAACAACGACUCCAGCUCCAACAACGACUCCAGCUCCAACAACGACUCCAGCUCCAACAACGACUCCAGCUCCAACCACGACUCCAGCUCCAACAACGACUCCAGCUCCAACCCCGACUCCAGCUCCAACAACGACUCCAGCUCCAACAACGACUCCAGCUCCAACCACAACCCCGGCUCCAACUACUCCAACCCCAGACCCGACGGUCCCGACCACCAUUGCUGUUAGUCCACGAGGAGACAACAGAUAAUGCGUGAUGAGCUGAGAGCAGAAUUAGCUUUUCCUUCAUUCACUAUUCUUUGGUUUGCACAAAAAAAAUCUUCAUCUGGAACCCUAGAAUGUUGGUAAUAUUUUAGACUUUGGAAGCAUAGUUAAAACAAGAUAUUAAGUUUCACAAAAGUAUUUUCUUGCAUGCUUUUAAAUUUCAGUAUUUAUUAAUACCAAUAUGUAUGAUUUUUAAUAUAUUUGCUGCUUACUUUUCCUAUAAUGUCCAUGUUACGUUUUCAGAAUGUAGUGACGUAUUGUGAUGUGGAAUAGGAACCGGUCUUUUGGUGCGAGACACCAGCGGGACUGUCUUGAUGACAUACUGAUGUAAUAUCCACUCAGCGUGGCCACAUUUCACCACCCCUGGAUCAACGCAGCUUAAGAAAAGGAUGAGCGUUAAGCCUGUAAUACCCUCAUGUCUGCUUCGCCAGUGAAGUGUCUUGCACUAUAUUUUUUAUCAUGACUCAGCCUCUUGACCAGUAUUUUCUUUGCUGCACUGCCAAAAUCUUUGCUGCACUUAACAGAACAGAACAUGGUCCACUUCCUCAACAUUCCCACCAAUGAACAGCUGUUAUUUAAUUCCCAACCAAAUCACUGUGGGCUCAUGGUUUAUUUGCUUUCCCCAAAAGUGGGUUUGCACAAAGAUUUGUUAUGAAUGUACUAUUUUAAAGAUUUGGAAAAGUUAGUUUACAGGCAAACUUCACAGCCUAAAUUUAAUCAUUUUAAAAUAGGAACUAAAAUAAACUGAACCAAAUAAUUUUUUGUUUAGUCA